rnacentral:lncRNA from 1 species
UUUACCAUAUGCUAAGAAAGCAAAACCGAUGGGUUAACACAAGGAAGUUAAAGGAAACUUGGGAGGCAGGAGGAACAUGACUUUGGGGACCACGAACUCACAGCGAGGCCCCAGAAAGCUCCCAGGAGGGGCCUCGAAGCCGUCCUGGGAGGGUGGGGUUAGAAGAAGAUUCCUGGAAAAUGGAGGCCCUAAGCUGGGGCUUUCUAUUUUUUAAUUUUCACGCCUUUCUUAAACCAUGAAAGU